AUGUUUCCUCCUCUGGUCCAGUUCUCCUGGAAAAGACAGAAGAAGAACGGCGGAGAAGCGGAGGAGCUGCCCCCUGCUGAGGGAGAGCAGCUGGAGCUCAGAGAGGCGGGACGCACCAUUGCCAUCAGGAUGGUUGAUGGGAGCCAUUCUGACACAUAUAAAUACAGCUGCUGGGUGAAGCACGAGGGGGGCACAGUGGAGGCCCGAACACAACAAGAGCUUCCAGCUCCAGCAGCCUCCUGUCCUCCAGAGAGAGAGCCAGCAGACCUGCCAGCUCUGCAGCCAGCUGACUUGUCCUUCCAGUCUCAGUGCAGGGUGAAGCUGCUCUGCCUGCUGUACACAGUGCUGAUAGUGAAGAGUCUGGUGUACUGCUGUGGACUCUCUCUGCUGAUGAUGCUCACAAACAAGGGAGCGUCCACCAACUGCACACAUGCUGACUGACUGUUUCCUGCUCGCCUUUUCUCACCAUCACAUCUCAUCAAUUCAUCUCAUUCAUCACUUUGAUCACAAAUGUUAGUUAUGAUGUGUUGAGCUUAUUUUGCCUUUUUCUUCAACAGUUAGAAGAUCGUCUGAAAUAAAUACAUCUUUACAUGUAUUGUUGCUCUGAGUUAGAAUUCUUUUUGUGCUUAUUGUGACUUUUAUUGUAGUAACAAAAACCAUCAGGAAUAUUUUUAUCACAAGUUUUCACUUUGAUUUUCAAAUGUCAAACAGUGUAGUUGUGUUUGUGUGAACAAUAAAGAUUUGAAGAUGAAGAG
ensembl:lncRNA